rnacentral:rRNA from 1 species
GGCUAACGCUGGCGGCGUGUCUUAGCCAUGCAAGUCGAGCGGACUUAUGGGGUAACUUAUAAGUCAGCGGCGGACGGCGGAGUAACACGUAGCUAACCUACCCUCUGGACGGGGAUAACCUACCGAAAGGUGGGCUAAUACCCGAUGUAGUCAUCCUGUAUAGGGGUGAUGAAAGGUGGGCUUCUGUUUACAAGCUCAUGCUGGAGGAGGGGGCUGCGGCCUAUCAGGUAGUUGGUAGGGUAAUAGCCUACCAAGCCGAUGACGGGUAGCCGGCCUGAGAGGGUGACCGGCCCGAGGGGCACUGAGAUACGGGUCCCACUCCUACGGGAGGCAGCAGGCUAGAAAUUUGGGCAAUGGGGGAAACCCUGACCCAGUGACGCCGCGUGCAGGAGGAGCCCUUCGGGGUGUAAACUGCUGUCGUGUAGGGAGAAGGGUACUAAAGGUGAACAAGUCUUAGUACUUGACGGUACUACAGGAGGAAGCCCCAGGCUAACCUCGUGCCAGCAGCCGGGUAAGGCUACGUAGA